UACAGAGGUCUCAAGCGUUGUUCGGAUUCAUUGGGCGUAAAGGGUGCGUAGGUGGCGUCGUAAGUCAGGUGUGAAAUUUCGGAGCUUAACUCCGAAACUGCAUUUGAUACUGCGGUGCUUGAGGACUGGAGAGGAGACUGGAAUUUACGGUGUAGCAGUGAAAUGCGUAGAGAUCGUAAGGAAGACCAGUGGCGAAGGCGAGUUUCUGGACAGUUACUGACGCUGAGGCACGAAGGCCAGGGGAGCAAACGGG
rnacentral:rRNA from 1 species